rnacentral:rRNA from 1 species
UGUGAGACUAGAGGACGGCAGAGGAAGGUGGAAUUCCCGGUGUAGUGGUGAAAUGCGUAGAUAUCGGGAGGAACACCAGAGGCGAAGGCGGCCUUCUGGGCCGAUCCUGACGCUCAGACGCGAAAGCUAGAGGAGCGAACGGGAUUAGAAACCCCGGUAGUCCUAGCCGUAAACGAUGUAGACUUGGCGCUGGUGGUGUAAAAGCCAUCAGUGCCGAAGCUAACGCGAUAAGUCUACCGCCUGGGGACUACGGCCGCAAGGUUAAAACUCAAAGGAAUUGACGGGGGCCCGCACAAGCAGCGGAGCGUGUGGUUUAAUUCGAUGCUACACGAAGAACCUUACCUGGGUUUGACAUGCAAGUGGUAGGGAACUGAAAGGGGACCGACCCUUCGGGGAGCUUGCACAGGUGCUGCAUGGCUGUCGUCAGCUCGCGUCGUGAGAUGUCCGGUUAAGUCCGGUAACGAGCGCAACCCCUGCUGUAUGUUACAAGUGUCAUACGGGACUGCCGGUAUAAAGCCGGAGGAAGGUGGGGAUGACGUCAAGUCAGCAUGGCCUUUAUGUCCAGGGCUACACACACGCUACAAUGGUCAUGACAAUAGGUUGCAAAACUGCGAAGUGGAGCCAAUCCUGAAACAUGGCCACAGUUCAGAUUGCAGGCUGCAACUCGCCUGCAUGAAGCUGGAGUUGCUAGUAACUGCGCGUCAGCUAUAGUGCGGUGAAUACGUUCCCGGGCCUUGUACACACCGCCCGU